GCGUUGGUGGUUUAGUGGUAAAAUUCAUCGUUGCCACGUGGUUGGAUACCAUCUGAGCUUGCUCAGGUGCUCCGAUCGUGUAAUCUCGAUGAGCCCCGGGUUCGAUUCCCGGCCGACGCA
rnacentral:tRNA from 1 species